CGCGUAGGCGGCCACCGCAAGUCGGUUGUGAAAUCUCUGGGCUUAACCCAGAAAGGUCAACCGAUACUGCGGGGCUAGAGUGCAGAAGGGGCAACUGGAAUUCUCGGUGUAGCGGUGAAAUGCGUAGAUAUCGAGAGGAACACCUGCGGCGAAGGCGGGUUGCUGGGCUGACACUGACGCUGAAGCGCGAAAGCUAGGGAGCAACG
rnacentral:rRNA from 1 species